AGUGAACGCUGGCGGUAGGCCUAACACAUGCCAGUCGAACGGCAGCACAGUAAGAGCUUGCUCUUACGGGUGGCGAGUGGCGGACGGGUGAGGAAUACAUCGGAAUCUACUUUUUCGUGGGGGAUAACGUAGGGAAACUUACGCUAAUACCGCAUACGACCUACGGGUGAAAGCAGGGGAUCUUCGGACCUUGCGCGAUUGAAUGAGCCGAUGUCGGAUUAGCUAGUUGGCGGGGUAAAGGCCCACCAAGGCGACGAUCCGUAGCUGGUCUGAGAGGAUGAUCAGGCAAACUGGAACUGGGGAACGGUCCAGGCUCCUAAGGGAGGGAGCAGGGGGGAAUAUUGGGCAAUGGGCGCAAGCCUGAUCCAGCCAUACCGCGUGGGUGAAGGAGGGCUUCGGGUUGUAAAGCCCUUUUGUUGGGGAAAAAAAGCAGCAGGUUAAUACCCCGCUGUUCUGACGGUACCCAAAGAAUAAGCACCGGCUAACUUCGUG
rnacentral:rRNA from 1 species